AGACCCGAAACCCGGUGAUCUAGCCAUGGGCAGGUUGAAGGUUGGGUAACACUAACUGGAGGACCGAACCGACUAAUGUUGAAAAAUUAGCGGAUGACUUGUGGCUGGGGGUGAAAGGCCAAUCAAACCGGGAGAUAGCUGGUUCUCCCCGAAAGCUAUUUAGGUAGCGCCUCGUGAAUUCAUCUCCGGGGGUAGAGCACUGUUUCGGCAAGGGGGUCAUCCCGACUUACCAACCCGAUGCAAACUGCGAAUACCGGAGAAUGUUAUCACGGGAGACACACGGCGGGUGCUAACGUCCGUCGUGAAGAGGGAAACAACCCAGACCGCCAGCUAAGGUCCCAAAGUCAUGGUUAAGUGGGAAACGAUGUGGGAAGGCCCAGACAGCCAGGAUGUUGGCUUAGAAGCAGCCAUCAUUUAAAGAAAGCGUAAUAGCUCACUGGUCGAGUCGGCCUGCGCGGAAGAUGUAACGGGGCUAAACCAUGCACCGAAGCUGCGGCAGCGACACUGUGUGUUGUUGGGUAGGGGAGCGUUCUGUAAGCCUGUGAAGGUGUGCUGUGAGGCAUGCUGGAGGUAUCAGAAGUGCGAAUGCUGACAUAAGUAACGAUAAAGCGGGUGAAAAGCCCGCUCGCCGGAAGACCAAGGGUUCCUGUCCAACGUUAAUCGGGGCAGGGUGAGUCGACCCCUAAGGCGAGGCCGAAAGGCGUAGUCGAUGGGAAACAGGUUAAUAUUCCUGUACUUGGUGUUACUGCGAAGGGGGGACGGAGAAGGCUAUGUUGGCCGGGCGACGGUUGUCCCGGUUUAAGCGUGUAGGCUGGUUUUCCAGGCAAAUCCGGAAAAUCAAGGCUGAGGCGUGAUGACGAGGCACUACGGUGCUGAAGCAACAAAUGCCCUGCUUCCAGGAAAAGCCUCUAAGCAUCAGGUAACAUCAAAUCGUACCCCAAACCGACACAGGUGGUCAGGUAGAGAAUACCAAGGCGCUUGAGAGAACUCGGGUGAAGGAACUAGGCAAAAUGGUGCCGUAACUUCGGGAGAAGGCACGCUGAUAUGUAGGUGAAGUCCCUCGCGGAUGGAGCUGAAAUCAGUCGAAGAUACCAGCUGGCUGCAACUGUUUAUUAAAAACACAGCACUGUGCAAACACGAAAGUGGACGUAUACGGUGUGACGCCUGCCCGGUGCCGGAAGGUUAAUUGAUGGGGUCAGCGCAAGCGAAGCUCUUGAUCGAAGCCCCGGUAAACGGCGGCCGUAACUAUAACGGUCCUAAGGUAGCGAAAUUCCUUGUCGGGUAAGUUCCGACCUGCACGAAUGGCGUAAUGAUGGCCAGGCUGUCUCCACCCGAGACUCAGUGAAAUUGAACUCGCUGUGAAGAUGCAGUGUACCCGCGGCAAGACGGAAAGACCCCGUGAACCUUUACUAUAGCUUGACACUGAACAUUGAGCCUUGAUGUGUAGGAUAGGUGGGAGGCUUUGAAGUGUGGACGCCAGUCUGCAUGGAGCCGACCUUGAAAUACCACCCUUUAAUGUUUGAUGUUCUAACGUGGACCCGUGAUCCGGGUUGCGGACAGUGUCUGGUGGGUAGUUUGACUGGGGCGGUCUCCUCCUAAAGAGUAACGGAGGAGCACGAAGGUUGGCUAAUCCUGGUCGGACAUCAGGAGGUUAGUGCAAUGGCAUAAGCCAGCUUGACUGCGAGCGUGACGGCGCGAGCAGGUGCGAAAGCAGGUCAUAGUGAUCCGGUGGUUCUGAAUGGAAGGGCCAUCGCUCAACGGAUAAAAGGUACUCCGGGGAUAACAGGCUGAUACCGCCCAAGAGUUCAUAUCGACGGCGGUGUUUGGCACCUCGAUGUCGGCUCAUCACAUCCUGGGGCUGAAGUAGGUCCCAAGGGUAUGGCUGUUCGCCAUUUAAAGUGGUACGCGAGCUGGGUUUAGAACGUCGUGAGACAGUUCGGUCCCUAUCUGCCGUGGGCGCUGGAGAACUGAGGGGGGCUGCUCCUAGUACGAGAGGACCGGAGUGGACGCAUCACUGGUGUUCGGGUUGUCAUGCCAAUGGCACUGCCCGGUAGCUAAAUGCGGAAGAGAUAAGUGCUG
rnacentral:rRNA from 1 species